UCAAGCUAGAAAGAGCGCAAGGGGAAUGCCUUGGCAUCAGGAGCCGACGAAGGACGUGACAAGCUGCGAUAAGCUGCGGGGAGUGGCACAUACACAUUGAUCCGCAGAUUUCCGAAUGGGGCAACCCGGCAGAGCAAUACUCUGUCAGCGUGCGUUGAAUCAAAUAGGCGUACGCGGGGAACCGCCUGAACUGAAACAUCUAAGUAGGGCGAGGAAGAGAAAUCAACCGAGAUUCCGCUAGUAGUGGCGAGCGAACGCGGAAGAGGCCAAACCAAGAGUAGUAAUACUUUUGGGGUUUUGGACAGCGUAAGGUAUUAACAACGGUUAGUUGAAUGAAAUGGGAAGUUCAACCAUAGAGCGUGAGAGUCGCGUAAACGAAAACUGAAGUUAGCCGGCUGGAUCCAGAGUACCGCCGGACACGUGAAACCCGGUGGGAAGACGGGGGGACCACCCUCCAAGCCUAAAUACUCUCCAAUGACCGAUAGUGUAAAGUACUGUGAAGGAAAGGUGAAAAGAACCCCUGGCGGGGAGUGAAAAAGAACCUGAAACCUUGUGCCUACAAGCACAUAGAGCGCGUCAAAGCGUGAUAUGGUACCUUUUGUAGAAUGGUCCGGCGAGUGAAUGUCACUAGCAAGGUUAAUGACUUAAGGUCAGGAGCCGCAGCGAAAGCGAGUCUUAAUAGGGCGACAUUAGUUAGUGGUAUUCGACCCGAAACCGAGUGACCUAGCCAUGAGCAGGCUGAAGUGGAGGUAAAACUCCAUGGAGGGCCGAACCCACUCCCGUUGAAAUGGUAGGGGAUGACUUGUGGCUAGCGGAGAAAUUCCAAUCGAACUCGGAGAUAGCUGGUUCUCUCCGAAAUAGCUUUAGGGCUAGCCUCAAUAUACAUUACCGCAGGUAAAGCACUGAAUGAGCUAGGGGGCGAAAGCUUACUGAACUCUAUCAAACUAAGAAUGGCGGAUAAUGAAAUAUUGGGAGUCACACUACGUGAGAUAAGUUUCGUGGUGGAAAGGGAAACAGCCCAGACCCACAGCUAAGGUCCCAAAGUACGGUUAAGUGGAAAAGGAUGUGGAGUUGCACAGACAACCAGGAUGUUGGCUCAGAAGCAGCCACUCAUUUAAAGAGUGCGUAAUAGCUCACUGGUCGAGCGUCUCUGCGCGGAAAAUUUAACGGGGCUAAGAUACAAACCGAAGCUUAGGCUGCACUUUUAGUGCGGGGUAGGGGAGCGUUGUGUAAGCGGAGAAACAGUAGCGGAAGCGGCUGUGGAGUUUACAGAAGUGAGAAUGCCGGAAUGAGUAGCGCGAAUGAUGUGAGAAUCAUCAUGGCCGGAAACCUCAGGUUUUUGGAGGAAGGUUCGUCCGCUCCAAGUUAGGCGGGAGCUAAGGUGAGGCCGAAAGGCGUAGCCGAUGCACAGACGGUAGAGAUUCCGUCCCCACCGAAAGAUUUAAGCGCAGGGACACUUUUAGAAGGUCGGAGCCAGGUGUUGGUUCUGGUAGAGAUCGAGGGAAGAUUAGUACCGAAGUCCGGCUGGAUAAGAGGCGAGAAAAGCUGCGUGUAUAUCUAAGGUGCCCGUACCGCAAACCGACACAGGUAGGUAGGAAGAAGAUUCUAAGGCCAACGGGAGAAGGGUUGUUAAGGAACUCGGCAAAUUGACCCCGUAACUUCGGGAGAAGGGGUGCUCCAGAGAUGGAGCCGCAGAGAAUCGGCCCAAGCAACUGUUUACCAAAAACACAGGUUUGUGCUAAAUCGAAAGAUGACGUAUACGAGCUGACGCCUGCCCGGUGCUGGAAGGUUAAAAGGAGAUGUGCAAGCAUUGAAUUGAAGCCCCAGUGAACGGCGGCCGUAACUAUAACGGUCCUAAGGUAGCGAAAUUCCUUGUCAGGUAAGUUCUGACCCGCAUGAAAGGCGUAAUGAUUUGGGCACUGUCUCAACAGCCCGCCCGGCGAAAUUGUAGUACCGGUGAAGAUGCCGGUUACCCGCGACAAGACGGAAAGACCCCAUGGAGCUUUACUGUAGCCUAAUAUUGGGUUUCGAUGUUGCAUGCACAGGAUAGAUGGGACACUGGGAAGCAGGUGCUUUGGCGCUUGUGGAGUGGCCGUUGGGAUACCAUCCUUGCGAUAUUGGAAUUCUAACCUGCGCCUUUGAAUCAAGGCGGGGGACAUUGUUAGGUGGGCAGUUUGACUGGGGCGGUCGCCUCCUAAAGAGUAACGGAGGCGUUCAAAGGUUCGCUCAGCUUGAACGGAAAUCAAGCAAAAGAG
rnacentral:rRNA from 1 species